UACGUAGGUGGCAAGCGUUGUCCGGAAUUAUUGGGCGUAAAGCGCGCGCAGGUGGUCCUUUAAGUCUGAUGUGAAAGCCCACGGCUCAACCGUGGAGGGUCAUUGGAAACUGGGGGACUUGAGUGCAGGAGAGAAGAGUGGAAUUCCACGUGUAGCGGUGAAAUGCGUAGAGAUGUGGAGGAACACCAGUGGCGAAGGCGACUCACUGGACACAUAUUGACGCUGAGGUGCGAAAGCGUGGGGAGCAAACAGG
rnacentral:rRNA from 1 species